GUGUCAGCCGCCGCGGUAAUACGUAGGGGGCAAGCGUUGUCCGGAUUUAUUGGGCGUAAAGGGCACGCAGGCGGUCCAUUAAGUUCAGGGUGACAGUCAUCAGCUUAACUGAUGAAGUGCCUUGAAAACUGGUGGACUUGAGAGCGAGAGAGGGACAUGGAACUCCGGGUGGAGCAGUGAAAUGCGUAGAGAUCCGGAAGAACACCAAAGGCGAAGGCAGUGUCCUGGCUCGUUUCUGACGCUCAGGUGCGAAAGCGAGGGGAGCGAACGGGAUUAGAUACCCCGGUAGUCC
rnacentral:rRNA from 1 species